AGUAAAUUGGUUAAGUUAGAAAGGGCGCACGGUGGAUGCCUUGGCACUAGGAGCCGAAGAAGGACGGGACUAACACCGAUAUGCUUUGGGGAGCUGUACGUAAGCGUUGAUCCAGAGAUUUCCGAAUGGGGGAACCCACUAUCUUUAGUCGGAUAGUAUCCUUACGUGAAUACAUAGCGUGAGGAAGGCAGACCCAGGGAACUGAAACAUCUAAGUACCUGGAGGAAGAGAAAGAAAAAUCGAUUUCCUGAGUAGCGGCGAGCGAAACGGAAAGAGCCCAAACCAAGAAGCUUGCUUCUUGGGGUUGUAGGACACUCUAUACGGAGUUACAAAAGAAAGUUAUAAAUGAAGCGGUCUGGAAAGGCCCGCCAAAGACGGUAACAGCCCGGUAGUUGAAAUAGCUUUCCCUCCAGAGUGGAUCCUGAGUACGGCGGAACACGU
rnacentral:rRNA from 1 species